rnacentral:rRNA from 1 species
UGAGAUGGCCUCUCGCCCUAUUCAGUGUAACGCUGUGGUAGUGGGUUUGGUCGCUCGCAUUUAAAUUGGAAGGGUAAUGGUGGACCGCACUUCUCCCUUAGUAGGACGUUGCGACCUGUCAAAAAAUAUCCUAAGUAUUUGGCUAAUUUGUCUGUUUUUAGGCAAUACCGAAAGGUAUUUCCUUUAACAGUUUUAGCCGUUUAUAUACUGGAUAUAAUUGACAGUAUCGAAUCAUGGUGUUGAGCCACUUGAAAUUGUAUAUUUAUAUGUAUAAUGGAAAGUGUCCUUGUGGCUGUUUGCAAGUGGGUUGGUUAAUUAGUUUUAGUCGGAUUUUGGUCCGUCUAGCUAUUCCGCCUACUGUUGGUAAACUGUUCCUUGGACAGUGCUUAUAACACCGGUCGGCAGCGAUUCAGGUUCAGGCUCUUAUCCGACCCGUCUUGAAACACGGACCAAGGAGUUUAGCGUGUACGCAAGUCAUUGGGUGUAUAAAACCCAAAGGCG